AUGUGUUGCCAAGGUGAUGUGCCCCAUCUUCCUGUUGGUGCUUCUCUACUUCAGAGUAAGAUGGAGAAGAGUUUUUUGGAGCUACUUGAGUUUAAUAUUCAUGUGUCUGCCAGUGUUUAUACGAAAUAUUACUUUGAUCUGCGUGCCUUGGCAUACGACCAUGACCUGUGUUUUCUAUUUAGUUUUCUUCGCAAAGAUAAAGCAGAGAGAUUAAAGGCUAUGUCACCGCCAUGUGAAUACAAAGACUUGCAUCAAGAUGUUGCCACUAUGAGAAGGGCCGACAGCAUGGAUUUCAUCGCUAUUCGGCAUACUAAUGCCAUCUUACCUUAAAGACAGAAAUUAGCAUUAUAAGAUCCUGGACUUGUCAACUAUAAAGACUACAAAAUAUCACUUCCAUUGCUGAAAAAGUCCAGGAAAAUUAGGAUUUUCCUUUUUAUGUUAUUUUUUUAAAAUUUUAUUGUUGUUGUUGCUGUUGUUGCUGUUGUUGUUGUUGUUGUUGCUGUUGUUGUUGAUUAGGAUUUUCAUAGAGCACAGAUUUCUUCAAAUAACCACACCGUAAAGCUGGGUGAUGGUGGCAUGAACAGUGGGUGCCAGGUGCUACCUGCCCUUUUUAUUCCACUGAGUCCAGAUGGCAUUCCUAGGGCACUACCUUCUUGAACAACUCUUGGGGAGGAAGACUGUCACAUGGACACAGCACAUCCCAGUGCAGAGUCCACAGUCACCCACAGUCCCAAGCAGGUGACAGUCUGAACUGAGCUGGAAUUCAAAAAACUUUAGAAUUUGCUCCAGGUGUGUGAGAGUGCCUGGGUCUGGAUCUCUGUCCACAGAGGCACUGAAUGUACGAUGGCCCGAAACAACAAGUAUGGGAAGACAGAAUGGCAUGGGGACAAGGCUGUCAUUACUCCAAGUUCCAUGGGGGCUCAGGCCUGUUCAUCUCGUCUUUGGAGGGAAUCUGUGCAUAUGAAAUGAGGCUCCCACAUCAUGGUUAUAAAGGGAGAGAUGAAAUCAGCUCAUCUUCCCCCAGGCCCAUAAUGGUCAUACCAAAACACAGAGUCAUGUUGUGUUGCCAGGCUGGAGCACAGUGGCGAGAUCUCAGCUCUCUGCACCUUCUACCUCCCGGGUUCAAGUGACUCUCCUGCCUCAGCCUCCCAACUAGCUGGGACUACUGGCAUGAACCACCAACCCAGCUAAUGUAUAUAUUCUUAGUAGAGACAGGGUUUCAUCAUGGUGGCCAGGAUGGUUUUGAUCUCUUGACCUCGUGAUCUGCCUGCCUCAGCCUCCCAAAGUGCUGGGAUUACAGGUGAGAGCUACCGUGCCUGGCCUCUUGCAUUUACGUUCACAGUAAAGUGGUUUGGAAUAUCCCACUGUUGAUUUGUGAUUUUCUCCUCCAAACAUAGUCUGUGGCCCUGUAUACAUAACUGAAUAUUUUCAUGUAUCGAUAUUUUGUGUCUGAAGAUGAAAUAUUAAAUGAAAGAUGUUACAACAUUUCCUGCAAGGCCUUCGGUGGUUGUAGAGUCUACUCUUUGGUGAAUACACAAACUCAUCUAUUUUAAAUAUUAAAACUUCUAUUAGAUGUGAUAAUGAUAUUUUCUUUUUCAGCUUCACUUGUUAGAUACAGUUACGUAAGUUCUUCCAUAAUGAUAUUGUAUCUGAUAUUUGAUGUAAAAAACUCCUAGAAUAUUUGGAAUUGAUACUUGAAAUUAAACAGCAAAAUGAG
rnacentral:lncRNA from 1 species